rnacentral:rRNA from 1 species
UACGUAGGGCGCAAGCGUUGUCCGGAAUUAUUGGGCGUAAAGAGCUCGUAGGCGGCCAGUUGCGUCUGCUGUGAAAUCCCGGGGCUCAACCCCGGGCGUGCAGUGGAUACGGGCUGGCUAGAGGCAGGCAGGGGAGAACGGAGUUCCCGGUGUAGCGGUGAAAUGCGCAGAUAUCGGGAGGAACACCGGUGGCGAAGGCGGUUCUCUGGGCCUGUACUGACGCUGAGGAGCGAAAGCGUGGGGAGCGAACAGG